rnacentral:piRNA from 1 species
UGCUACACUAUGCUAUAUUACCAUGCAAAA